GACGAACGCUGGCGGCGUGCUUAACACAUGCAAGUCGAACGGACAGGCCCUGCUUUUGUGGGUUGCUCGAGUGGCGAACGGGUGAGUAACACGUGAGUAACCUGCCCUUGUCUUUGGGAUAACUUCAGGAAACUGGGGCUAAUACCGGAUAGGAGCUCCUGCAGCAUGGUGUGGGUUGGAAAGUUUCGGCGGUUGGGGAUGGACUCGCGGCUUAUCAGCUUGUUGGUGGGGUAGUGGCUUACCAAGGCUGUGACGGGUAGCCGGCCUGAGAGGGGGAACGGCCACAUUGGGACUGCGAUACGGCGCAGAAGCGUACGGGAGGCAGCAGUGGGGAAUAUUGCACAAUGGGGGGAAGCCUGAUGCAGCAACGCCGCGUGCGUGAUGCCGGCCUACGGGUGGUAAACAGCUGUCGCAGGUGACGAAGAGUGAGUGACGGUAAUGGGUAAAGAAGCACCGGCUAACUACGUG
rnacentral:rRNA from 1 species